rnacentral:rRNA from 1 species
AAUAGAUACCCGGGUAGUCCUAGCCGUAAACGUUGGGUGCUAGGUGUGGGCGGAUAUCGACCCCGUCCGUGCCGAAGCUAACGCAUUAAGCACCCCGCCUGGGGAGUACGGCCGCAAGGCUAAAACUCAAAGGGAAUUGACGGGGCCCCGCACAAGCGGCGGAGCAUGCUGCUUAAUUCGAUGCAACGCGAAGAACCUUACCUGGGUUUGACAUGCAGGGUGAAACCCGUGAAAGCGGGCGCUCUUCGGAGCCUGCACAGGUGGUGCAUGGCUGUCGUCAGCUCGUGCCGUGAGGUGUUGCCUUAAGUGGCGCAACGAGCGCAACCCCUGUCCUUAGUUGCCAGCGGGUCAUGCCGGGAACUCUAGGGGAGACUGCCGGUGCCAAACCGGAGGAAGGUGGGGAUGACGGUCAAGUCAGCAUGCCCCUUAUACCCAGGGCUGCAAGCAUGCUACAAUGCGCGAUACAAAGGGCUGCGAUCCCGGUAAGGGGGAGCGAAUCCCAAAAACGUCGCGCUCAGUUCGGAUCGAGGUCUGCAACCCGUACCG